GACGGACGCUGGCGGCGUGCUUAACACAUGCAAGUCGAACGGAAAGGCCCUGCUUUUGUGGGGUGCUCGAGUGGCGAACGGGUGAGUAACACGUGAGUAACCUGCCCUUGACUUUGGGAUAACUUCAGGAAACUGGGGCUAAUACCGGAUAGGAGCUCCUGCUGCAUGGUGGGGGUGGGAAAGUUUCGGCGGUUGGGGAUGGACUCGCGGCUUAUCAGCUUGUUGGUGGGGUAGUGGCUUACCAAGGCUUUGACGGGUAGCCGGCCUGAGAGGGUGACCGGCCACAUUGGGACUGAGAUACGGCACAGAGGCCUACGGGAGGCAGCAGGGGGGAAUAGUGCACAAAGGGCGGAAGCCUGAUGCAGGAACGCCGCGUGUGGGAUGACGGCCUUCGGGUGGUAAACCGCUUUCGCCUGUGACGAAGCGUGAGUGACGGUAAUGGGUAAAGAAGCACCGGCUAACUACGU
rnacentral:rRNA from 1 species